UCCUUUAACGAGGAACAACUGGAGGGCAAGUCUGGUGCCAGCAGCCGCGGUAACUCCAGCUCCAGAAGCGUAUAUUAAAGUUGUUGCAGUUAAAAAGCUCGUAGUUGGAUCUGGGUCGCAUGGCUACGUGCCGUAGCUUGUAUUCUCGGCUUGGCUACGGUUGGGUCGGGUUUGUGAGUCGGUUUCGUGGCUGUGUAGCCUUUCUGCCGUGUCUGUUUCGACAGGUGCUGAUGGUUAUUCCGUUGGCAUGCUUCCGGAUGCCUUUAACCGGGUGUCGGGGGCGGACGGCACGUUUACUUUGAACAAAUUUGAGUGCUCAAAGCAGGCCUAUGCCUGAAAAUUCUUGCAUGGAAUAAUGGAAUAGGACUUCGGUUCUAUUUUGUUGGUUUUCGGAUCCGAAGUAAUGGUUAAGAGGGACAGACGGGGGCAUUUGUAUGGCGGUGUUAGAGGUGAA
rnacentral:rRNA from 2 species